CCUACGGGUGGCAGCAGUGGGGAAUAUUGCACAAUGGGGGAAACCCUGAUGCAGCGACGCCGCGUGAGCGAAGACGUACUUCGGUAUGUAAAGCUCUAUCAGUAGGGAAGAAAAUGACGGUACCUGAGUAAGAAGCUCCGGCCAAAUACGUGCCAGCAGCCGCGGCUAUACGUAUGGAGCAAGCGUUAUCCGGAUUUACGGGGCGUAAGGGGAGCGUAGGCGGGUGGUCAAGUCUGAUGUGAAAUACCGGGGCUCAAUCCCGGGGCUGCAUUGGAAACUGGCAGGCUGGAGUGCCGGAGAGGCAGGCGGAAUUCGUGGUGUAGCGGUGAAAUGCGGAGAUAUUAGGAAGAACACCAGUGGCGAAGGCGGCCUGCUGGACGGUGACUGACGCUGAGGCUCGAAAGCGUGGGGAGCAAACAGGAUUAGAUACCCCAGUAGUC
rnacentral:rRNA from 1 species